rnacentral:rRNA from 1 species
CGGGGUGCACCAGGCGCGAAAACUUUACAAUGCCGGCAACGGCGAUAAGGGAACCUCGAGUGCCAGGUUACAAAUCUGGCUGUCGUGAUGCCUAAAAAGCAUUGCAUAGCAAGGGCCGGGCAAGACCGGUGCCAGCCGCCGCGGUAACACCGGCGGCUCGAGUGGUAACCGUUAUUAUUGGGUCUAAAGGGUCUGUAGCCGGCCGGGUAAGUCUCUUGGGAAAUCUGGCAGCUUAACUGUCAGGCUUUCAGGAGAUACUGCCUGGCUCGAGGCCGGGAGAGGUGAGAGGUACUUCAGGGGUAGGGGUGAAAUCUUGUAAUCCUUGAAGGACCACCAGUGGCGAAGGCGUCUCACCAGAACGGACCUGACGGCAAGGGACGAAAGCUAGGGGCACGAACCGGAUUAGAUACCCGGGUAGUCCUAGCCGUAAACGAUACUCGCUAGGUGUCGGCCACGGUGCGACCGUGGUCGGUGCCGUAGGGAAGCCGUGAAGCGAGCCACCUGGGAAGUACGGCCGCAAGGCUGAAACUUAAAGGAAUUGGCGGGGGA